AGUGAACGCUGGCGGUAGGCCUAACACAUGCAAGUCGAACGGCAGCACAGUAAGAGCUUGCUCUUACGGGUGGCGAGUGGCGGACGGGUGAGGAAUACAUCGGAAUCUACUUUUUCGUGGGGGAUAACGUAGGGAAACUUACGCUAAUACCGCAUACGACCUACGGGUGAAAGCAGGGGAUCUUCGGACCUUGCGCGAUUGAACGAGCCGAUGUCGGAUUAGCUAGUUGGCGGGGUAAAGGCCCACCAAGGCGACGAUCCGUAGCUGGUCUGAGAGGAGGAUCAGCCACACUGGAACUGGGACACGGUCCAGACUCCUACGGGAGGCAGCAGUGGGGAAUAUUGGACAAUGGGCGCAAGCCUGAUCCAGCCAUACCGCGUGGGUGAAGAAGGCCUUCGGGUUGUAAAGCCCUUUUGUUGGGAAAGAAAAGCAGCAGGUUAAUACCCCGCUGUUCUGACGGUACCCAAAGAAUAAGCACCGGCUAACUUCGUG
rnacentral:rRNA from 1 species